rnacentral:rRNA from 1 species
UACGUAGGGUGCAAGCGUUGUCCGGAAUUAUUGGGCGUAAAGAGCUCGUAGGCGGUCUGUCACGUCGGCUGUGAAAACCCGGGGCUCAACCCCGGGCCUGCAGUCGAUACGGGCAGACUAGAGUGCGGUAGGGGAGACUGGAAUUCCUGGUGUAGCGGUGAAAUGCGCAGAUAUCGGGAGGAACACCGGUGGCGAAGGCGGUUCUCUGGGCAUUACCUGACGCUGAGGAGCGAAAGUGUGGGGAGCGAACAGG